UAGCCUGCCCACUGAAUUAUUUUUAAAGGGCCGCGGUAUACUGACCGUGCGAAGGUAGCAUAAUCAUUAGUCUUUUAAUUGAAGGCUUGUAUGAAUGGUUGGACAAAAAGUAAUCUGUCUCAGUUAUAAUAGUUGAACUUAACUUUUAAGUGAAAAGGCUUAAAUACUUUAAGGGGACGAUAAGACCCUAUAAAACUUAACAAUAAUUUGAUUAAAUUAUAAAUUGUUAGUAUAACUUGAUUUUAAUUAAUGUUUGUUGCGUUGGGGCGACGGGAAUAUAAUUAGUAACUGUUCUUAAAUAUUUUAUUAACAAGUAUAAUUGAAGAAUAAUUGAUCCUUUAUUAAAGAUUAAAAGAUUAAGUUACUUUAGGGAUAACAGCGUAAUCUUCGUUUGAGAGUCCUCAUCGACAAGAAGGUUUGCGACCUCGAUGUUGAAUUAAGGUAUCCUUAUAAUGCAGCAGUUAUAAAGGA
rnacentral:rRNA from 1 species